rnacentral:rRNA from 1 species
AUACGAAGGGCCCGAGCGUUGCGCGGAAUCACUGGGCUUAAAGCGUACGUAGGCGGACAAGCAGGCAUCUUGUGAAAUCCCUCGGCUCAACCGAGGAAUUGCUUGGUGAACCGCUUGUCUUGAGGCGAGUAGGGGCUGUCGGAACGAUAGGUGGAGCGGUGAAAUGCGUUGAUAUCUAUCGGAACGCCAAAGGCGAAGGCAGACAGCUGGGCUUGUCCUGACGCUGAGGUACGAAAGCGUGGGGAGCAAACAGGAUUAGAAACCCCGGUAGUCC